UACGGAGGGUGCAAGCGUUUGUCCGGAUUUAUUGGGUUUAAAGGGUGCGUAGGCGGCUUUUUUAAGUCAGUGGUGAAAUACAGCAGCUCAACUGUUGAGGUGCCAUUGAUACUGAAGAGCUUGAGUACAGAUGAGGUAGGCGGAAUUUUAUGGUGUAGCGGUGAAAUGCAUAGAUACCAUAAAGAACACCGAUUGCGAAAGGCAGCUUACUAAGCUGUAACUGACGCUGAGGCACGAAAAGCGUGGGGGAGCGAACAGG
rnacentral:rRNA from 1 species